UGCAAGUCGAGCGGAUGAAGGGAGCUUGCUCCUGGAUUCAGCGGCGGACGGGUGAGUAAUGCCUAGGAAUCUGCCUGGUAGUGGGGGAUAACGUCCGGAAACGGGCGCUAAUACCGCAUACGUCCUGAGGGAGAAAGUGGGGGAUCUUCGGACCUCACGCUAUCAGAUGAGCCUAGGUCGGAUUAGCUAGUUGGUGGGGUAAAGGCCUACCAAGGCGACGAUCCGUAACUGGUCUGAGAGGAUGAUCAGUCACACUGGAACUGAGACACGGUCCAGACUCCUACGGGAGGCAGCAGUGGGGAAUAUUGGACAAUGGGCGAAAGCCUGAUCCAGCCAUGCCGCGUGUGUGAAGAAGGUCUUCGGAUUGUAAAGCACUUUAAGUUGGGAGGAAGGGCAGUAAGUUAAUACCUUGCUGUUUUGACGUUACCAACAGAAUAAGCACCGGCUAACUUCGUGCCAGCAGCCGCGGUAAUACGAAGGGUGCAAGCGUUAAUCGGAAUUACUGGGCGUAAAGCGCGCGUAGGUGGUUCAGCAAGUUGGAUGUGAAAUCCCCGGGCUCAACCUGGGAACUGCAUCCAAAACUACUGAGCUAGAGUACGGUAGAGGGUGGUGGAAUUUCCUGUGUAGCGGUGAAAUGCGUAGAUAUAGGAAGGAACACCAGUGGCGAAGGCGACCACCUGGACUGAUACUGACACUGAGGUGCGAAAGCGUGGGGAGCAAACAGGAUUAGAUA
rnacentral:rRNA from 1 species